UUCAGUGGAUCAGGAGAUCUGGAUUGGAACUGGCAAUCUGCAAUUUUAAGCAACACCCUGAAAGACAGAAGAUUCCAAACCAUUGGAAGGAGAAUGACAAACACAUCUUCCAAAAUAAUGGGAUGAAAAUAUUUUUUCUCUUCCAAGGAACUUUUGAAGUUUAAGUCCUCUCUGUCAUCAAAGAAAAGGCUUGGCCAGUGGUUUUCCAGAGAAUAAAAGGGAAGAAU